AGCCAGACCGCCGCUGGGGCAAGCUCGGAAACGAGGCCCUGGAGGAAGGUCCGGACUGCACAGAGCGGCGUAGCAGCUAACGGCUGCCCGGCGCAAGCCGAGGAUCAGAGCAACAGAGACGAGUCGACCAAACGUGCGGGGUUCGCCCCGCGGGACCGUGAGCGCAGCCCACGGGGUCGGGUGCAACGGGCAAUCUCUACGCGCAGCAACACCAAGUAGGCCAGCGUUGAUGCGGCUCGCAGAGCUGGCGGGUAGGUGGCACCGAGCCGGGCAGCGAUGCCCGGCCCAGAGGAAUGGCGGUCACGCCGGGGGCGACCCCGGUGCACAGAAUCCGGCCUAUCGGCUUGCUUCA
rnacentral:RNase_P_RNA from 2 species